CAGUCGCCGCGGUAAUACAGAGGGUGCGAGCGUUAAUCGGAUUUACUGGGCGUAAAGCGUGCGUAGGCGGCUUUUUAAGUCGGAUGUGAAAUCCCUGAGCUUAACUUAGGAAUUGCAUUCGAUACUGGGAAGCUAGAGUAUGGGAGAGGAUGGUAGAAUUCCAGGUGUAGCGGUGAAAUGCGUAGAGAUCUGGAGGAAUACCGAUGGCGAAGGCAGCCAUCUGGCCUAAUACUGACGCUGAGGUACGAAAGCAUGGGGAGCAAACAGGAUUAGAUACCCCCGUGUCCCUGUCUCUUAUACA
rnacentral:rRNA from 1 species